UACGGGGGGGGUAAGCGUUGUUCGGAAUUACUGGGCGUAAAGCGCACGUAGGCGGCUUUGUAAGUUAGAGGUGAAAGCCCGGAGCUCAACUCCGGAACUGCCUUUAAGACUGCAUCGCUUGAACGUCGGAGAGGUAAGUGGAAUUCCGAGUGUAGAGGUGAAAUUCGUAGAUAUUCGGAAGAACACCAGUGGCGAAGGCGACUUACUGGACGACUGUUGACGCUGAGGUGCGAAAGCGUGGGGAGCGAACAGG
rnacentral:rRNA from 1 species